UGCUCAGCUUGGCAACACAACAGUAAAAUUGGAGCAAUACAAAGAUUAGCAUGGCCCCCGCACAAGGAUGACAUGCAAAUUUGUGAAGCGUUCCAUAUUUAA
ensembl:snRNA U6 U6 spliceosomal RNA